rnacentral:rRNA from 1 species
CCUACGGGUGGCAGCAAUGGGGAAUAUUGCACAAUGGGGGAAACUCUGAUGCAGCGACGCCGCGUGAGUGAAGACGUAAUUCUUUAUUUAAAGCUCUAUCAGCAGGGAAGAAAAUGACGGUACCUGAGUAAGAAUCCCCGGCUAACUUCGUGCCAGCAGCCGCGGUAAUACGUAGGGGGCAAGCGUUAUCCGGAUUUACUGGGUGUAAAGGGAGCGUAGACGGCAGUGCAAGUCUGGAGUGAAAGGCGGGGGCUCAACCCCCGGACUGCUCUGGAAACUGUACGGCUGGAGUGCAGGAGAGGUAAGUGGAAUUCCUAGUGUAGCGGUGAAAUGCGUAGAUAUUAGGAGGAACACCAGUGGCGAAGGCGGCUUACUGGACUGUAACUGACGUUGAGGCUCGAAAGCGUGGGGAGCAAACAGGAUUAGAUACCCUUGUAGUC